AGCAGUAGCCGCGGGAAUACGGAGGAUCCAAGCGUUAUCCGGAAUCAUUGGGUUUAAAGGGUCCGUAGGCGGUUUUAUAAGUCAGUGGUGAAAUCCGGCAGCUCAACUGUCGAACUGCCAUUGAUACUGUAGAACUUGAAUUAUUGUGAAGUAACUAGAAUAUGUAGUGUAGCGGUGAAAUGCUUAGAUAUUACAUGGAAUACCCAUUGCGAAGGCAGGUUACUAACAAUAUAUUGACGCUGAUGGACGAAAGCGUGGGGAGCGAACAGGAUUAGAGACCCCUGUAGUCCCUGUCUCUUAUAC
rnacentral:rRNA from 1 species